GUCGAGAUAAUUUAAUGGUAGAAUAAUGUACUCGUAAUACUUAAAUACGGGUUCAAAUCCCGUUCUCGACC
rnacentral:tRNA from 1 species